UGGGUAACCUGCCUCAAAGAGGGGAAUAGCCUCCCGAAAGGGAGAUUAAUACCGCAUAAUAUGUUUAAGUCGCAUGACUUUAACAUCAAAGGAUUUUCUUUUAGAAAUUCCACUUUGAGAUGGACCCGCGGCGCGUUAGCUAGUUGGUGAGGUAACGGCUCACCAAGGCGACGACGGGUAGCCGGCCUGAGAGGGCGAUCGGCCACACUGGGACUGAGACACGGCCCAGACUCCUACGGGAGCAGCAGG
rnacentral:rRNA from 1 species